GAGGGAUGCUGGGUUGGGUCCUGGAGCUCCCUCUGCGAGAGAAGUUAAGAAAGUUUACAGCUUUGUCUUGAGACAUUUGCUGAAGUCAUGUUUCAAGAGGCAAAUCACAUCUGCUGCAACAUGAACCGACCACCAGGCAGUAAGAUGCACAGGUUCUCAGGCUCUGAGACCCUAUGGGAAAUUGCCUAUAGGGCCCCACAGCCUGGGAAACUGGCCUAGAGGUUUUAUGAAGUGACUAAUAUCCUACAGGGAACAGCCGGGUCCCAGGACUUGCAUCAUGGUCAGCAGACCGGCCCCUCUCUGAGCAACACCCUUGGGAUUAUUCACGUCCAUCUGGAAGAAACUAGUCUCUGAGUUUGAUUCAGGACUUCUUUCUCUUUCCCACCUCUUACCCCAGCCAUGUAAUUUGCACAUCGUUUUAUAUUUUCUAUUGGGAAAUCACAAAGCAUCUAAAAGGCAAGCAGUGGUUCUCAAGCUGCAGCCAAAGAAACACCAGAGGCUUUCGCACAAUCCCUUUUUCCUGAAGCCAACUCUGCUGAGGAUGUGAUGUGGAUACGGAUGUCCGGGAAGCUGGUGUCGGUGGCGGGCUGUGUUCUCAGGCCCAGGGACGCUGUGGCAGGGACUGGAUGGGAAUGCAGCAGGGCCGUGUAUUAGCUGUGCAGCCUUGGGAAAAGGAACUCACAGGACAGUCAUCUCGGAAUUCACACGGCCACAGCUGAACGCCUGGUCUCCGCCACACAGCGGCUCAUUACAGUCCUCUCCUGCUCUGCAAUUUCCCUUCCAGGCUCCCAGUUUCUGAGGCCAACGCCCCUGCGGUGGUGCUCCACACCUCUCUGUUUCUCACAACUCACAUUCGUCAGCGAAGCCUGUUGGAUCUGCUUACAACUCUCUGGGGCAGCCAGCGGCUUCUGGCUCCUCAUGGCCCCCCUGCCAGGAUGAGCCCCGGCUCUGCCUCCCUGGGAGUUCUGCAGUGGCUCUGUCGCCCUUCUCAAUACCUUCUUGAUGCUAUUCCUGCUUUCCUGUCAGCUGCGUGUCCUCCAAAGAAGCCAGAGCAGAGAGACCAUGAUUCUCUUCUUUCCUCCCCGUCUUCAAAUCUUUUCUCAAAUACCAGCUCUUCAAUAUGCCUGCCUUGACCACUCUGUGAGGUGGCAGCAUGCUCCUCCGCCCCUCCCAACUCCCAUCUGCCCAACUCCAGGACCCUACUCAAUGCCCAUUGCAGUUUCUUUUGCUCAUGGUUUGUCGUCUGUCUUCCCUCACCAGGUCGCAAGCUCUACUUUGAGUCUCAAGAGCCUUGUGACACAUGGCAGGUGCUCUGGAGUGGACACAGCACUGCCACUUUUGACAGCUGUCCCCUUUGUCACCCUCAGGUUGUGACCCAAAUGUCCCUUCCUCAAGGACGGUCCUGGGCAGAGCCGGCCCCCCCUCUGCCACCCUACUGCUCUGUCCCAGCACCAUCUUUCAGAGGUCGUCAUCAGCACUUGUGAAUGCACAUUUGCCUCAUGCUCACGUGUUUAUUGUCCGUCUCCUACACCCGCACCCCCAGUCACAGUGUUUACUUCAUUCUCUAGGGUCUUCCUAGUGCUUGGCAUAGACCUGCACGGAAUAGACAUGAAUUAAGUAAAUAUUUGUUCACUAACUGGGAAGCACUUUAUAUAUACUCUUGUAUUUGAUGAUCACAGCCAUCCUGUAAAAUGAGUAUUAUUUAAAUGCCUAUUUUUGUAGCUAUUGUUGUUGUUGAAAGAAUCUGAGGCUCAGAGAGGCUGAGCAAUUUCCCCUUAGACACAAAGCGAGGUGGAGGAG
rnacentral:lncRNA from 1 species